rnacentral:lncRNA from 10 species
CCAGAUCUCUAAUCCAUCAUGACUUUAUGUAGCUACAUUCCUUUGCUGCUUUAUAAACUCCCAAUUUUAAUCAGUUGAGAGAGAUGGAUUUGAGACUGAUCGCCUCUCUCUCUAGCUGAUGUCACCUGAAUAAAAAGCCUUCUUCCCUGGCAAUACUCAUUGUUUCAGUGAUUGGCUUUCUGUGCAGGAAGCAACAGGGUCCUCCCCUGGUACUUCAGUAACAGAUUUUGGUUUCCUGACUGGGAAUGUGUUGCUCACAGUUCACUGGCCACAGGCCAGAAGAGUUUCAGAAGACCUCCUAGGCAGCUGCCUGUCUUUGUUUUUUUGGCCAAAGGAUUAGAAAGCAAUGCUUUCCUCCAGUAUAACUUGAUGCUGUACUCUUGGCUUUUCUUGAUAACGUCUGAAUUGCUCCACGUAACCAGAAAACUUCUCAUGCUGUUCCCCUGCUCAAGUUACAGAGCUUUCACUCCUGGAUCUGAAAAUGGCACCAACUCCUACUAAAUCUUGAACAUUGACACCAGUCAAAACCUCGUCUUCAGACCCAGGAGAAGGUGACAAUCAAAGUGAACUGCUUUCAUGAGACACAGGGCCAGAAACAAACUACUGAAUCCCUCUAGGCUCAGGACUAUCAUAGAAGAAAGAGGUAUGAGAUUGUAAGGGCCAAUUUUGAGGAAUAAAAUCUGUUAAGGGUUUUUCUAUAAAUUAAAUGUUAAUAUCAAGAACACGCUGAUGCAAGGCCAGAAUCUAGGCCCCUGUGUUAGAAUAAUGUAUGUUACAUUAACCUUUGCUUCCUGGGUGGCCAUGGUAUGGAGCUGCAACUGUGCUGCAUUCAGUUAUUAAAGGUAAAGUUACCAGUGAAAUUUAGAUAUGAAUUCAACUCCUGGGGAGUUGGUUCCCUGGAUGUAAAAGGAAGUACAAACUAAUAAGGAAAAAGCAAAAUAUUGAAUCCCUUUGUUACUGUUAUCUAUAAUAGCUACAAUGGAAGUAAGAGAGUGCUGGGUUGGGUCUGGAGUCUGGACCAGGCUCAGAUGUGGGUCUGUCUGAGCUCAGAUCACUAGCCUCAAAGCUACCACAAAAGGGGAGAAUAUGCCAACGUACUAAAAUUACCUCUGAAAUCUGUGAUUUCCAAGAAGGUAGUCAAUGUGGGGGGAAGGGCAAAACAGAGUAGAGAGUAACUAUUACAACCAGAAGGUAUAAUGUGAAGAAAUUAUUCCAUUUUGUAGAUUGGUAUCAUCAGUUUCCUAAGAAAUCCUUACUAAAAUCAAUUGUGAGAGUAACUAAUUUGGGAGCAAUGUCUUUUAAAUGCAGCAGAGUGGAAGAGCAUGUUUUGGUGGAUGCAGGAUCCAUAGCUCACAAUUGAGCAAUCACAGAUGGAUGUAUAUGUAAACUAGACACAUGGGACAUUAUUCCCAAGAGAACAGCCAGCCUUUUGGACUGGGUAAAAGCCACUAUAAGAGCUGCUUGCCCUCAGAAAAAGAACUGCUCGAUUUCACCUAUCAAUGACAAGUGAAGCACCUCAGAUGAAGCAGCUGGUGUGCUUUUGUAUGCAAACCAUGGGAGACUGGCUGUAUAAUGACAGGAAUAUUAAACUUACUUUUCGGCUUUUGGUUUUGGGCUUCUUUGUUACUUAAAGGGCUUUAAGGGUUAAUGAGUGCCUGUCCACUUCCAUUUCUGUCAGGACUAGAACAUUUAAUUGGCUAUAAGUCUUCUGACUCUAAGUUCUUUGGCCAUAGGGUUCCCACUGAGGGACAGGAUGGACCCAGGGCACAUAGCCACACCACCCCAGCAACAAUAUAGGACAAAAUAAAAGUUUGGACAUGGAUGCUGCCUCUGGCAUGCAUUGACAAAAAGGGGCCAAACUAAAAAUAGAGUCCUAAGUCCCCCAUCUGACUAACUGGACCUACUUUUGGCCAAGGAGACCCCCAUUGCCAAAAGACAAAUUUUAUCUGGGAAAAAAGCUUGCUUUUUGCCCUGCUGAGGAUCUGAGUAGCCCUCAUAAGUGGGUUGGCUCUUAUCCCCUUUGAAAUGUGUGAGGACCAUUUCACCAGACUCCCUGUCACUUGAGGAUUGUUUCUCUUCUGAAACAGAAGCUAGAUCCUAUGUAAAACAAUAAGGAAAUAUACCAACUAGUCUCUCAGAGUUUUUUUCCAACAGGCUCCAGUUCCCUAUAGAAGUGCCUCUCCACUCUCUGAAAAUGCAGACCAUGUCCAAGACCUAGAAAUUACACCAGGGUGAUGACCAGCUGCAACCACAUGGGUCAGCUCUUUUGAGGUGUUGCUGACCACUCACUCAUCUGUUCUGUUAGCUGGUGUUAAGCCAUGGAUUCAUCAUACUCAAGUAAAACUAGUGCCUCUGGGAUUCAUCAUACUCAGAUACAACCAGUGCCUCUGGGACCCUUCCAGGGGUAACAGUUAUGGUUUUCUGAAACCUUAGACAGCCUUGAGUUGAUAUUCAAAACCCAGCCAAAGACCGUAGAUGUGAAACCAUAAAGUGAACAUGCACUUUUCAGACUGUUAUUGCUCUCCAAAAAAAGACAUCUUUUUGCAUGCAGGAUGUAAUGAAUCAGGAAGACCUUUGGUAGGUUUAGGAUUAUUCUCUUGGACUCCCCAGGAGAUCCACUCUAUAUUCUCUGGUAUUUUUAAAUUUGAUUUAUCUAUGUUAUUAAUCAUCUGAGUUUCUAAAACCAUUAAUAGAAGUACCCAGAUCCUGGUGCUCCAACAAGCCAGAUGCCAACCAGGUACUCAUGAGUACUUUCAAUUGCAGAUGUGAUGUUUUCAUUCCUCAUCAUUAUCCCACAGUGCUCCUCUUCAGCAUGAAGCAACCAGGAGGAUCAAUGAUCAGGUUCCAUAUGAUUGAGGGGUUGAUAAAUAGAGGGGACUGAAAUUGGCCAAAUUGGCCCAAAAAACUGAUGUUUACAGUUUUUAAAAUAAAUAUAGAAAUUGGCCCUCUCUGAUGUUGAAACGUGAAACUUACAUUUGUCUUACUUGAGUUCCUUCCUCAGGAAACUGACCCUCAGGCAAGGAACUGAAACACCGGAUCACCCAUCCAAUGAGAUACCAGAGCCUUCAUAUGGCAUGAUUGCUGCUUUACCCAUUCCUGAUUUCUGUUUUCCCACAUGUAGCUACAUUCCUUCCCUGCUAUAGGAACCCCCAAUUUUAGUUGGUUGGGAGAGGCGGAUUUGAGACUGAUCUCCCAACUUUCUGGCUGACGUCACCUGAAUAAAAAGCCUUCUUCCCUGGCAGGACUUAUUCUCUCAGAGACUGGCUUUCUGUGCAGCAAGGAGCAAGACCAAGACCAAUGUUGCCUGGCAUUCUGAUAACAUUGCUGUCCAGUUUUACAAGUGAGAAGACUGAGGCUCAAAGAGGUUGCACACCAGGCACAGUGCCAGAGCCAGCGUUCACACAAGGUCCACUGGAUGCUUCAGGUCUCCAGCCCAGCCCCAGGAGAGAAGUCAGUGACCCAGACCUAAGUCAACCAGUGCACAGCAUUUCCCCACAUCAGAGUCAAGAUGAAGAAGUGGGCAUGACCUAAAUCAGUUCAACCAGAAUUAAUCCCACAAGUUUUAUAGGAUCACCUGGAAAAGAGGCAGAGAGUAGUAAGUCUGUAAGGCUAGAACAGCUAUAGCAAUGCUACUGACCAUGGGGAAUUUAAUCCAGAUGAAGCAGAAAUGAGAGAUGGAGAGAAGAGAGUCCUGGUGAUCCCAUCUGAGCCCCUCCAUCAAACAUCCCUACUUGUAUUUUUCACUUUCAACUGCCAUUAAAUACUCCUUUUGCUAAGCCCAUUUUGGUUGGUUUUCUGUUACUAACCACUAAAAUUACUGGCUAUAAUGAUUUCAGAUAAGUCAGAUGUUACUAUAUGGAAAUCAAUAUUUAUCAAGCCAAUAUAAGCGUGUAUCAAUUAAUACUUCUAUCCCCAGAUUCUAUUUUCCUCUUAUACUAAACUUCAGGAAUUAUGAAUUCUUCCUGAACGUAAGACUACUAUUUUUUGUAGCUGUAACCUAAAGCACAUUGGACUAUUCCUUCUUGUCUUCUUAUAACCCCAAAAUAGGAAUUAUAAUUUCUUACUGAAAUUUCCCUAAAUUUUUUCUCACCAAAAUUUAGUUAAUUUUUCCCUAAAAUUUCUUUACUAUAUUUCACUGAAAUCUACUAUGUAGUAUUUUCUCUAGAUGAAAACUUUCCCUGAAAAUUGCAAGAAGUGAAAACAUUGGCUUUGAAAUGAUAGAUAAUUCAUAAACUAUUCUUAAGGAUUAUUCUCAGGAAUAAUUAUUUUGUCUGGCCUACAUAACCCUAAAUAGUGGUAAAAUAUACAGUAGUUUAAAACAUGGUUAGGGGCCCAAUCUAGAACAAAGAAAAACUGCCUGUGAGUAAAACAGUCAAACAUGUUUUAGACAUGUCUCGCAUCCACCAGUGUGAGUCGAGUGCAAAGGGUUACUGUAAACUGACCAGGUAUUAGCAGGUCAUCUUCAAACCCACAUCAACCCACCUCACCUCAGAGCCAGUUCUAGGACCCUCCACGGGUCAGCCUAAUUUCCCUUGGCCCAGCCCAAGCUGGCUCUUUCUCUUUGCACAGCAAUGCUCACACACCCUGGCCAAAAAAGCUUUCGAAGUAUUUCUUUUUGAAUGAGCAUAAAGUGCCUAUUGAGACCAAGAAAGCCUCCUUAUUGUGGGGUUGACCUUACCACUGUGUCCACAUUCCCCAGAGGUAUGGACAGUAGCUACAGCUGAGGAAAUGUCAUUCAGCAGUUUUUUGCGUAUGAAAUUUGAGAAAUUUGCAUGAUACAUGUGGAGCCAAUUGUUCAUAUCUAAGCAUAUUAGCUGUUUUUCUCCUGAGAACACAAAAAAGUUAUUGAGAGUGAAAAGAAGUCCCAUUGGAGGAGGGGAAACCUGAGGGGCCUCCCUGAGUACUAUUCACUGCAGGCCUCAUUUCAUUCCCAAUGACUUCUGUGGAAGCCAAUUUAAAGAAGGUCACAGGUAUUUACCUUUCUUCCCUGUCUGUUUCAAUCUGUUUUAUAGAGAAGGAGUGAAAAUGCCAAUGCCAAUGCUCAUUCUUGAGCCCUUGGUGCAUUCGUUCUGCAGAUUUUUUUAAUACAAGGGUAGACUUUUAAAACAACAAAAGAAAAUGUCAUUGGAAUAGACUUAAGCUUUACUUUGACUUAAGAUAGAUUUCAUUCCUUGGCUUAGACUGGAUUACAUUCACCUAGUCCUGUCAUUUCUUACUAAGGGAGGAGACCACCCCUCAUAGUGUAUUAUGCCCAAUUUCUGCCUCCAAAGAAAGAAGUAAAAACUAAAAGGCAGAAAUGAAAUCCACAAGCAGACAGCCCGGCACCACACCCUGGGCCUGGUAGUUAAAGAUCCACCCCUGACCUAAUCGGUUAUGUUAUCUAUAGAUUAUAGACAUUGUAUAGAAAAGCACUGUAAAAAUCCCUGUCCUGUUCUGUUCCGUUCUAGUUACCAGUGCAUGCAGCCCCCAGUCACGUACCCCCUGCUUGCUCAAUCGAUCACAACCCUCUCACACAGACCCCCUUAGAGUUGUGAGCCCUUAAAAGGGACAAGAAUUGCUCACUCAGGGAGCUCGGUUGUUGGAGACAUGAGUCUUGCCGAAGCUCCUGGCUGAAUAAAGCCCUUCCUUCU